rnacentral:lncRNA from 1 species
UAGCCCAAUUAUUCAAAACAAACCCAAAUGAAAAAUGGAAUUAGAUCCUUAAAUAGGCUCCCAUAAUGAAUUUAUCUAAUUUAAAACACAUUUAUCACUUUAUUUCUCAAAAGAAAAAUAUUUAAUAGAUUAAUAUAUAAACCAACAAAAUAAUAUAUCAAAAUGUUGAGCGCAAACAAGAGUUAAAAAUAUGGUAAAGAACAUUCGAAAACUCCCUCCC